rnacentral:sRNA from 2 species
ACGGCACCUCGUUAGGUGAGGCGUCUACACGAAUACAGGCCACUGACCCCGAACGUCCAAAGACGCCCCGGGUCAGGACAGCUCCUCCUGGCUUAAGGGUUGAGCCCAGGUGGCUUCCGGCUCGGAUUGUUUCCGGCCAGGACACGUCGUGUAGUGCCGAAGCUCUGACGAGUGGGGUGCGGA